rnacentral:pre_miRNA from 1 species
UUCAUACUCCCUCCGUCCGAAAAUACUUGUCAUCAAAAUGGAUAAAAAAAGAUGUAUCUAGAACUAAAAUACGUCUAGAUACAUCCCCUUUUAUCCAUUUUGAUGGCAAGUAUUUCCGGACGGAGGGAGUACAUG